GACGAACGCUGGCGGCGUGCCUAAUACAUGCCAGUUGAGCGCUGAAGGUUGGUACUUGUACCAACUUGAUGAGCAGCGAACGGGUGAGUAACGCGUGGGGAAUCUGCCUUUGAGCGGGGGACAACAUUUGGAAACGAAUGCUAAUACCGCAUAAAAACUUUAAACACAAGUUUUAAGUUUGAAAGAUGCAAUUGCAUCACUCAAAGAUGAUCCCUCGUUGUAUUAGCUAGUUGGUGAGGUAAAGGCUCACCAAGGCGAUGAUACAUAGCCGACCUGAUAGGGUGAUCGGCCACAUUGGGACUGAGACACGGCCCAAAAGCCUACGGGAGGCAGCAGUAGGGAAUCUUCGGCAAUGGACGAAAGUCUGACCGAGCAACGCCGAGUGAGUGAAGAAGGUUUUCGGAUCGUAAAACUCUGUUGGUAGAGAAGAACGUUGGUGAGAGUGGAAAGAUCAUCAAGUGACGGUAACUACCCAGAAAGGGACGGCUAACUACGUG
rnacentral:rRNA from 1 species